CAUGAUUAUGCAUGAUGUAUCAAAAUUUUACUCGUCCCCUAGUAAAUGUCGCUAGUAAAAUCUCUGUAAUUUUAUUUCUUCAAUAUUGGCAGGUAUGUAUUACAUUCAUGUGAUUGAUCAUUGUUUUGAAAGUAUAUACAUUUAUUUUGCAGCUGCUGUGAAGUGCUUGGCUAAGUUUGGCGCUCACUGUGAAGAACUUCUCCCAAAUAUUUUAGUUUUUCUGCAGAGGAACCUCCUGGAUUGUAAUGAUUAAGUGAGAGCAACCUACUAUUUAAAUAUCUUAUAUCAGAAGCAAAAAGGACUUUACUCUCAAUUCAUCAUGAACGGCUUGUCAGUUUCUAUUGUUGGUUAGGAAGAAACUUUGCAUUAGUGCACGAUAGAACCUUCAGAAUUGCCUGUCGAUAUCAAAAUUGUGCCCGUGGCUACUCAACCAUUGAUAGAAGAUAAGAAAGCUGAUGCUCCCGUCAUUGGGAAAAAGAUAAAGUUGUUACUUCACGUCAAGAUAUGAGGUAUUUAUCCUUCUCUUUAUUUAGUUUAACACUAUUUUUUGAAACUCUUGCUCCAAGAAAAAUAAAGCUACAGUAUCAGUUCCUUAAAUUUUAUACUGCAUGUGACACGUUCUCCGGUUAUUCCGACAUUUGU